rnacentral:sRNA from 1 species
GCUUGACUCUAGUCCGACUU